AGCAGUAGCCACGGUAAUACAGAGGGUGCGAGCGUUAAUCGGAUUUACUGGGCGUAAAGCGUGCGUAGGCGGCUAAUUGAGUCGGAUGUGAAAUCCCCGAGCUUAACUUGGGAAUUGCAUUCGAUACUGGUUAGCUAGAGUGUGGGAGAGGAUGGUAGAAUUCCAGGUGUAGCGGUGAAAUGCGUAGAGAUCUGGAGGAAUACCGAUGGCGAAGGCAGCCAUCUGGCCUAACACUGACGCUGAGGUACGAAAGCAUGGGGAGCAAACAGGAUUAGAGACCCCAGUAGUCCCUGUCUCUUAUAA
rnacentral:rRNA from 1 species